rnacentral:tRNA from 1 species
AGCGGUGUGGCGCAGCCUGGUGGGCGCAGUGAGCUGAUACCUCAAAGGUCGCCGGUUCAAAUCCGGCCACCGCUA